UGUUAUUUUGGGAAAGGAAGUGAUCAUCUUUUAUUUUUCCACCUAUUGUGAUAUAAUUAAAUAAAUAUGAAUUAAGACAAAAUAUGGAAGAGAAUAGGAAGGUUACCUUUUUCUUUUAUUUGAGUCUUUAUGGGAAAAUUAGGAUAAAGAGGGAAUGGGAAAAAAGGAAGAGCAUUAUGCUCUUGGGGCUGCCGAAUUAUAAAGAGAAGAGAGAGAGGGCGUGAACUAGAGAGAGAAGGGGAAGAAGAAAGAAAGGAAGAAGGAGAAGUAGAAGGGUUCAAGCUAGGGGUUUUAACAAGGAGGUGCUUCUAGAUUGGAUUCUUGAUUUCUAUCAAUAGAGGUAGCAAAUAAGUUUCUCUAUGGCACGCGUGGUGAUGUGGGGAGUUCUAUCGUCGUGGUGUGUAUGGCAUGGGGGCAUUCUAUGGACAAAAAACGAUCAAUUAAAAACAACAUUUUUAAUAAUGUAAUGUUUUAUGAGACUUUUUAAACUUAUCAGUGGGACUUGAAUUAUUGGUUGUUUUGGAACUUUGCAUAAAUGAUAUUUUCUUUUAAAACUAUUGGGCCCAACUUGCAUGUUUUAAGCAAGACCCCACUGAAACCUUUAUAAUA